GACGAACGCUGGCGGCGUGCUUAACACAUGCAAGUCGAACGGAAAGGCCCUGCUUUUGUGGGGUGCUCGAGUGGCGAACGGGUGAGUAACACGUGAGUAACCUGCCCUUGACUUUGGGAUAACUUCAGGAAACUGGGGCUAAUACCGGAUAGGAGCUCCUGCUGCAUGGUGGGGGUUGGAAAGUUUCGGCGGUUGGGGAUGGACUCGCGGCUUAUCAGCUUGUUGGUGGGGUAGUGGCUUACCAAGGCUUUGACGGGUAGCCGGCCUGAGAGGGUGACCGGCGACAUUGGUCCUGAGAGACGCCGCAGUGUGCAACGUUGGGCAGCAGGCGGGAGUAUUGCACAGUGGUCCCGCGCGUGAUGCAGCGGCGCUGCGUUUGUAAUGACCUUCUUCUGGUUGUAAACCGCUUUCGCUUGUUACGAAGCGUUUGUGACGGUACCGGGUAAAUAAGCACCGGCUAACUUCGUG
rnacentral:rRNA from 1 species